GUGGCGGGCGAGGGGUUUUCCCCACAGCAGCCUCGAGCUCGGGGAGGCGGGAUCCCGCCAGGACGGGGUCCCUGAGGGAGGAGAACGGCACACGACAGCCUCGAUCCCUCUCCUGCGGACAGGGGCCUCCGACUUUUCCGAGCGGGCAGGAGGAUUCCUUAUAGGAAUCUCCCACACCCACCCUCCGCGACCAGCCUUCUCGGAGUUCCCCCGCGGCCUUCCCGAGCCACGCCACCUGCCGCAGGGAGGCCGGAGUGAGAGAGGGGGCGCGUCCUAUAAGCCUAACAAGUGGGUAAAGAGGCGCUUUCAAGAUCCUUCCCCUGAAACGGGAUCUGUUAAAAGACUGGACCAAUGUCUGUUUGGAACUCGUGAGCACUGUCCAGGUUACUAUGGAUACCGCAAUAAAAGAGACAUGGUCCCAGUCUUGGAGGAACCCACCUGCUGGUAGAGGUACCAGAGAGUAGACAAAGAUGCAAUAUGAUAGGUGUGAUAAUUAAGGUCACUGUCCCUGGUCCCUCCCAGUUAUAUAACAAUGUGCAUCUUCCUUCUUUCUCUGGAAUGUAACCAGUCAAGAAAUUUUUUAUGGGUGAGGAAGAAGGAGAGAAGCAGGAAAAUUGAGUUGAGAAGAAAGCAAGAGUGGGGAAAGAGAAGAUAAAAGGAAACCAUGAAAUCUGGAGGAGAAGAAAACAGAAAUGGGGGAGCAAAGAAACACACCGUGUGGGGCAGGAAUCGUCGUUAGACACCGAUCUGUUCAUAUCUCCUUUCCUUGAGAGAUAUUAAGAAAACACUAGAUCCGCCUUCUGUCUUAAAAACAAGAAAGGGGAUUUGGUGACCUCUGAAAUAUGCUUCCAGACUCAGCAAUCUCUGUCUUCUGAAGGGGCAUCCUGCUUCUUGCUGCCUAUACUCUGCAAUAGUUGGAGGUAAUUCCAUGUAACAAUCCAGUUCAAAGAGGCAGGUAUAUAGCACGAGAAACUCCGCAUUGCCAUUUUAAAGACUGGUCUUCA